CGCUAAUCCUCGCAUAUGCACGCCCCCACUUUGUCUCCUCCUCUUCUGCCCCGCGCGCCGCCGCCAUGAGCCGUCGCGUUGCCGGGAGGAACGUCUGGUGGCCGGCAGGAGCUUCGCCUCCCAGUACGAGGAGCUUGAUGCGCCCCACUCUUCCUCACGCCGUCCUUAUCCUCCCCCACCAUGGUGCUGCUGUCUUCGUCCUUGUGCCGCAUACCGUACCCUAGGAUGGAAAAUUGGUGGCUGUGGAGCAGCACAACCCGCUGCUCGCGCUGCUGCCGAGGAGCGGCUGUUGGCCGGCGGGGCAUCGCCUCUCAGUAUGAGGAGCUUGAUGUGCCGCCAAACCAGAUCAGAUGCGACAUGUAGGCUGCUGCUGUCAAGAUGGACGAGGCCAGGCCACCGAUGAAUCAAGGGAAACUAACGGUCGUGAGACAAGGCAUGAAGUAGUCGAGGCAGCACCAACUCUUGGUGUCGCGGCCGCCGGUGAUAGAGAUUUAUGACACUACAAUCGGCAGCCUGGUUGUGGCUUACGUACUUGCUUCUUCAGUUGAGGCCCUCAUAUAUUUUGUUAGCAUUUCAUAUUUGAAUUUCAUAUUUUCUGUGUUUUUGUUGUAAAGGUUACAAGAAACUUCUUUCAUGUGUCAUCUAAUAAUGAAUAUUACUCCCUCUAUCAAAAAAACUUGUCGCAACUUUUUCUAGAUACGAAUGUUUCUAGCGUCUAGAUACAUUAUCUACACAAAGUUGCGACAUUUUUUUUUUUUUGGAAAGGAGGUGGUACCUUCUAUAUUGCACUACGGUGAAGCGCCUCAAAUAAAUGAUGGGGUAUCAGCUGAUGAAUAUUGCCUUCUGCAACUGAAGAAGCAAGUGUGAGACCUGCUGGCCGAUGUGAAGAUGCGAUGAAUUCGCAUCUACUGUGUCUUCUGCCCUAGGUCAGCAACUGCCUGCCUCCCUCCGCCUCUUCUGCUAACGCCGCUGGAGAUGCCACGCAGCAGCGCAGAGCGUAUUGGUGCAGAUUUACAUUUUUUUUUAUCUUUUCCUAUUGAGUUCUUUAUUAUUCUCAUCCCUUUCUAUUCAGAUUUUUUGUCAUUAUACUUCCCAUAUGGGGUCAGCGAUUUUUUUCUGCGGAAAUUUCCAGGGGCUAUUUUUGGAGGAGGGCUGUGAUUACUACAAAAGUUUGCGCUCUCAAUUUUUGCAGUGCUGACAAGAAGAGUCAAAUUAGGUGCUAUUUUAUCGUGCCUAUCAUGUUGAGUUAUUGCUUGAAGUUUAAUCUCUGUCACAAGUAAAUUUACUUGCUUUCUUUUGACUUCCAGUUUCCUUGUUUAUCUGCAUAUUUUCCAUCUAAUAAUCAGUUGAUGACACAUAGGAGCUUUCAUAUGGCUUACAAUUUCAUGAAUUAUCAAUCAUCGUGCUUCCUAAUGAACAUUUUGUUGUUCUUCACUUUUGACAUGGUAUUGGCAUGCUCGACAUUUCUGGAUGUACACAUAUAUGGUUGUGGAAAUGAGGGUUAGGAUCUCACAAAAAUUGUAUUACAUUCCCUAAAAAUGUUAUUUCCGUUCUAAAGUGCAACAAAUAGGUUAUGUUUUAUAUGAUAUUUCUCUUCUUUGUUCCCUCAGCUUCAUUUCUUUUGUAUUUUACACUUUCCAUAGUCAUAUGAGCCAAUGCCUAUUUUCUAAGCACACUAUUCCUUAGUGUUGGGCUCUUCACAAUUCAAGACUGGAUGAUAUUAGCUGUUAGCUCGGUUUACAUUUGGGUGAUAUCAGUCUUGAGUAACUAUCGGUUGUAUUACUCUUCCAAUUUACCACUGUUGCUGAUGCUUUACAUGCCUUCCAGAUUGUACAUUGGUUCCAAUCUAAAUAGCAGAUGUUUAGCUUUCAAAAGAUUUGCUAGGUGAAGACAACCCUAUAUAGACAGGGAUGAUUUCCUUUUUAGUGUCAUAAAGAUUCAAAGUUGAUUAGAUGCUAUCAAAUUUAUUAUAUUUGGAUUGCCUAAAGCUGUUAGCUAAUGUAACAAUGCUUCUUUACUGGUUAGUGUUAAAGAUGUCAAGCUGGGCUUAUGCACCAUAAUCCAGCUACUAGCCUCCUUUUCAAGCUCUUGCUUCCAUUUCUGAUGCAUGUGCAGAUAACCAGUCUGUUUAUUCAUGUGUAUUCCAUAAAAUAUCUAAUGCAACUUCUUUCCUAUAUAGAUGCCUCAUUGUUGUUGUUUAGUAGUAUUGUCCUCCUUUAUGUACCCGUUAUUUUAAAGUAGGCUCAUGGUAUUUCUCUUCGUAAAUAGGAUUAUGUAUGAUGCAAGCCGUUUGCUUCCAUGAUAUAUCUUAAUGUUUGGCUAGAAAGGAUUGAAGAUAUUAUAGUGUGCUUACUCUUCUCCUCUAUUAUAGUUGUUUGCCAAUCCUAGGUUUAUCAAAGGUUUACUAUCGUAGAAUUCUCCUUUAUGUUGCUUUAUUUGUUUUGCCUUCAUCUCUUUAAGUGCACCGAAAUAAUAUUUUUCCACUCCAUGGUUGCAGCUUGAUGGAAACCGUCGAGUUUAUAAGCUAUUACGGGAAUGUUGUAUGAAUGUUUCUGUUUAGAAGCUUAUAAGCUAUUACGAGAUAUUAACAUUUCCCCAAUGUUGAGGUAAGAAAAAUUUAGAAACUUUUGUAUAAUCUACAAAUAUCACUUGGCAGGAAAUGAGAAGCUUUUAUAAUCUAGAAAUAUCACUUGACAGGAAAUGCAAAGCUUUUAUAAUCUACAAAUAUCACUUUACAGAAAUGAGAAGCUUUUGUAUUUGUAUAAUCUACAAAUAUCACUUGGAAGACCAGAUAAAUAUCACUUUGAAAAUUUGAUUCCCAGUGGAGUAACCAAAAUAUGAAGCAAAGAUUAAGGAGGAAGCGAGGACAACAAAAGCCACUUCUGUAUAACGAAAAUGAAUUGCUGGUUGUUUAUAAGUUCUGUACUCGAAUAGUGAAUUCGUAUUGGUUCAUGCCUCUAUUAUUCUCUAAGAUUAAUACAAAGUGUUUGAUAUAAUGUUUGUCGCGAAAGACGGGGGCCGUGUGCCAAGGUGUUCUCCUAACUCUUAUAGAGCCCACUAUCAAUAGUAAAAAAAACAUAAGGCGUAAUUCUUUUUCCUAUAUUUUGGUUGCACACUGCCACUGAGUUCCUCAUACUUUUGCAUUUGUUUGUAUAUUCAUAUAUUUGUUAUUUGCUACAACUCCUGAACUAAGCAAUGGUUCUACCGAUGUAUCUGCCUACAAGAUUGCUCACCUAUUUGGUACACUUGGUUUGCAGCUCUGUUUGUAGUUUCGUGUGAUUUAUCCAAAUUUUAUUCCAGCGAUAUCUUUUUGUGAAAUAGAACAGUAUUAUCAUGUUGGUACUUAUUUUUUUAUUGCUGUUAUACAAAAUGUUCACUGGCAUGAGCUCAACGGGAUCAUGCUCCAAGAUGCACAACUAAGUAAUGGACGAGUACCCGAACUGCAUUUUAGUCCUCACCUACAUUAUCUCCAUUUUAUCACAUACUAUAAACUUAAGUGCCUGAAUGCAUUUUAAACUACUUGAUUCAUGUACAAAAUAUGAAAGUCUUUGAUUUUGUGUUGCGCACUUUAUUCAUCAGCUCAUGGCAAGAGUCUAUCUCUUUAAUGUUUAUGAACUAAGUCACUACUUGAAGAUUCCGAAGGUGAGAUUAUGUGCAUCAUCAACGUAUAAUAACGCUCCUUUGUUUUUUAAUGAUUUCUUGGGUAAGAGUGCAGAUUCUUAGGACACUGCAUUUAUGUCCUAUAUUUACAGGAGGCAAAAUCUUCAGUUGUUGACAUAGGUAGACUUGAGUGGCACCCUUGGAGUCUGGAGAUAUGCCACCAUCAGCGAUUCUUUCCAUUGAUAGGUGACACCGGAUCUUUUGCCAUACCAGGAUUUUUGUUUGCCAUGUCAAGCUACACCACGUGAGCUUGGGUUGUGCUACAGUAGUAUUGACAGAAGAAUUGCGCAAAGUUAAUGAAGAAUUAGCCAGUAUACUGUUGUGCAAAAAAAAGCACUUUACAUGGUUAAUUCUGUUGAUGCAGAACCUGAAACAUGAGUAGUUCAUUGCGUUUGUUGACAAGCUUGUCCUAAACCUUAGCUUCGAUGAAAGGGGAAGUGCAUUUAGCACAUGUUUCUUCCUUCUCUAGAGCAUGGGUGUUGCAGAGAUAGUUUCACUUGAUAGUGAAAGGGGAAGUGCAUUUAGCACUUCAGCACAUUCUUGCCUUUUCUGGUUCAGUACAUGAGAACUUGAUUUCA